UGGGGAAUCUUGGACAAUGGGCGCAGGCCUGAUCCAGCCAUGCCGCGUGCAGGAUGACGGUCCUAUGGAUUGUAAACUGCUUUUGUACAGGAAGAAACAGUUCUACGUGUAGAACCUUGACGGUACUGUAAGAAUAAGGAUCGGCUAACUCCGUGCCAGCAGCCGCGGUAAUACGGAGGAUCCAAGCGUUAUCCGGAAUCAUUGGGUUUAAAGGGUCCGUAGGCGGUUAGAUAAGUCAGUGGUGAAAGCCCAUCGCUCAACGGUGGAACGGCCAUUGAUACUGUCUGACUUGAAUUAUUAGGAAGUAACUAGAAUAUGUAGUGUAGCGGUGAAAUGCUUAGAGAUUACAUGGAAUACCAAUUGCGAAGGCAGGUUACUACUAAUGGAUUGACGCUGAUGGACGAAAGCGUGGGUAGCGAACAGGAUUAGAUACCCAAGUAGUCCCUGAGCGGGCUGGCAAGGCGCAU
rnacentral:rRNA from 1 species